rnacentral:rRNA from 1 species
UGGGGAAUUUUGGACAAUGGGGCGAAAGCCUGAUCCAGCAAUGCCGCGUGUGUGAAGAAGGCCUUCGGGUUGUAAAGCACUUUUGUCCGGAAAGAAAUCCUUGGCUCUAAUACAGUCGGGGGAUGACGGUACCGGAAGAAUAAGCACCGGCUAACUACGUGCCAGCAGCCGCGGUAAUACGUAGGGUGCAAGCGUUAAUCGGAAUUACUGGGCGUAAAGCGUGCGCAGGCGGUUUGCUAAAGACCGAUGUGAAAUCCCCGGGCUCAACCUGGGAACUGCAUUGGUGACUGGCAGGCUAGAGUAUGGCAGAGGGGGGUAGAAUUCCACGUGUAGCAGUGAAAUGCGUAGAGAUGUGGAGGAAUACCGAUGGCGAAGGCAGCCCCCUGGGCCAAUACUGACGCUCAUGCACGAAAGCGUGGGGAGCAAACAGGAUUAGAUACCCUGGUAGUCCACGCCCUAAACGAUGUCAACUAGUUGUUGGGGAUUCAUUUCCUUAGUAACGUAGCUAACGCGUGAAGUUGACCGCCUGGGGAGUACGGUCGCAAGAUUAAAACUCAAAGGAAUUGACGGGGUCAUAGCUGUUUCCU